rnacentral:rRNA from 1 species
CCUACGGGUGGCAGCAGUGAGGAAUAUUGGUCAAUGGGCGAGAGCCUGAACCAGCCAAGUCGCGUGAGGGAGUACUGCCCUAUGGGUUGUAAACCUCUUUUGUCGGGGAGCAAAAGCCGGACGUGUCCGGCUGUGAGAGUACCCGAAGAAAAAGCAUUGGCUAACUCCGGGCCCGCAGCCGCGGUAAUACGGGGGGUGCGAGCUUUAUCCGGAUUUUUUGGGUUUAAAGGGGUCGGGGGCGGAUUUUUAAGUCAGCGGUAAAAUCGUGGGGCUCACACCCGUCCAGCCGUUGAAACUGGGGAUCUAGAGUGUGCGAGCGGUAUGCGGAAUGCGUGGUGUAGCGGUGAAAUGCAUAGAUAUCACGCAGAACCCCGAUUGCGAAGGCAGCAUACCGGUGCACAACUGACGCUCAGGCACGAAAGCGUGGGUAUCGAACAGGAUUAGAUACCCGGGUAGUC